rnacentral:rRNA from 1 species
GAUGAACGCUGGCGGCGUGCUUAACACAUGCAAGUCGAACGAAGCACUUUAACCUGAUUCUUCGGAUGAAGGUUUUUGUGACUGAGUGGCGGACGGGUGAGUAACGCGUGGGUAACCUGCCUCAUACAGGGGGAUAACAGUUAGAAAUGACUGCUAAUACCGCAUAAGACCACAGAGCCGCAUGGCUCGGUGGGAAAAACUCCGGUGGUAUGAGAUGGACCCGCGUCUGAUUAGGUAGUUGGUGGGGUAACGGCCUACCAAGCCAACGAUCGGUAGCCGACCUGAGAGGGUGACCGGCCACAUUGGGACUGAGACACGGCCCAAACUCCUACGGGAGGCAGCAGUGGGGAAUAUUGCACAAUGGGGGAAACCCUGAUGCAGCGACGCCGCGUGAGCGAAGAAGUAUUUCGGUAUGUAAAGCUCUAUCAGCAGGGAAGAAAAUGACGGUACCUGACUAAGAAGCACCGGCUAAAUACGUG